ensembl:lncRNA
CGGCUGCUGACACAAGGCCUGGUGGGGCCCCCGGCCCCUCGCCCCGUCCCCGGCCCCCUGUGUGGGAGCCCUACCUGCUUCUUGCUCACACACACACACACACACACACACACACACACACACUGAGCCCUAUAGGUUUGCAUAUGCAAAAAGAAAGAGAGAAAAAUCCUUGUGCGUGUGAGUGUGUGGUAGUGCUGGUAUAGUGAGGAUUCUUAAUGUGUUCAGGAAGUGUGCAGAUGCAAAAUGUUGGUCGGCCUUUUGCUCUGAACUCCGCUACGGUGUUCAGUGUGCCAUGUGACAUUCUCAAAUGAUUCAGACCACACCCAUCACUGUACCUAUGGAAGUGUUUCUCUCGCCUUGAGACAUGCAAAGGCGACAUGCCAUGAUGUGGUAUGAAACUACAUGCAAAGGCGACAUGCCAUGAUGUGGUAUGAAACUACAUGCAAAGGCGACAUGCCAUGAUGUGGUAUGAAACUACAUGCAAAGGCAGGAAUGUGAGUAUUUAUCCCUCCUUGCCCCUCGUCUGCCCCUCGUCUGCCCCUUUACCGCGCUGUCAGACUACUCAAUUACCAUGUGAAUGGAGGAUUAAGAUAAAACACUCUGCUCUUUAUUUUUCGAGCGGUAUGUGAGAAGUCAUCUCCCUCCCCUUGGCUGGCUCUUCUGGGCAGUGAGCCGAAGCACCAUACAAGGCUGUGAAACGGCAGUGUCUGCGGGGUGUUGUUAUUAGGAGGAAUAUACAAACUUAUCAUGAGCAAGCUGAUUAGCUGUUCCUUGUAUGGACUCCGCUCCUGUAUUCCUACGAGCCAAGUCGCUUUGUGGAAUGAAGGUGCCGGCAGACUGCGUGGUUAACCUUUAGUCGGAGAAGUUCAAAGAUCCUGUGCAGGCCAUCAUCGGUGAUCCAGACAUUCAGAUGACAUGCAGCCACAGGUAUGCCUUUUACAAUACAGGAAACGGAAUAAAUAAAUACUGUAUAUCUAUAUCAUAUAUCUCUAUCACAUCUGCACUAACCACCACUAUUGCUGCUUACUGUUCAUAUUACUUAUGUCUUAUACCAUACUGUAUAUAUUCUAUUUAUCUAUUUUUAUAUUACCACUUUGCACAUACUCUGCACUCUUCUGAUUUUGCACUUCUGGUUAGAUGCUAACUGCAUUUCGUUGCCUCAGUACUUGUACUCUGUGCAAUGACAAUAAAGUUGAAUCUAAUCUAAUCUAAUCUAAAUACAGGGUUUAUGAAUCUACUUUAAUCUAGAGAUCUGUCCACUCCCUUCAACUAAUUGCUAAAGAAAAACCAUUACAGUUUUGGGCAUUGGGCAAAACACCAAAGUGUCCCUUGUAAUUAACUGACAGUGAUGUCAGUGAUACCUUUGAAAGCUUCCAAAACUGUUGUUUCUUCGACCAAAUUUGGCCGAAAACCUGCAGCGACAGACCAAGAUGUCCCAGCCUGAAUGAAAAAGGGAGCUAUUUAUGGCUUUUAGUCUUGUAUUUCCAUGCGAAUGCCUCAGUCCCUGAGCUUCACAAUGGCAUCUCGCUGAUUUUUACGAGAUACAGUUUCACACUCGGUGAGAAUCCCAGGAUCUUCCCAUGACCCCCAC